rnacentral:rRNA from 1 species
UACGGAGGGUGCGAGCGUUAAUCGGAAUCACUGGGCGUAAAGCGCGCGUAGGCGGCCUUUCAAGUCAGGGGUGAAAUCCCACGGCCCAACCGUGGAACUGCCUUUGAAACUGUAGAGCUUGAGUGUCGGAGAGGGUGGCGGAAUUCCAGGUGUAGGAGUGAAAUCCGUAGAUAUCUGGAGGAACACCGGUGGCGAAGGCGGCCACCUGGACGACAACUGACGCUGAGGUGCGAAAGCGUGGGUAGCAAACAGG